rnacentral:rRNA from 1 species
UACGUAGGGUGCAAGCGUUGUCCGGAAUUAUUGGGCGUAAAGAGCUCGUAGGCGGUCUGUCGCGUCUGCUGUGAAAACCUAGGGCUUAACCCUGGGCCUGCAGUGGGUACGGGCAGACUAGAGUGCGGUAGGGGAGACUGGAAUUCCUGGUGUAGCGGUGAAAUGCGCAGAUAUCAGGAGGAACACCGGUGGCGAAGGCGGGUCUCUGGGCCGUAACUGACGCUGAGGAGCGAAAGCAUGGGUAGCAAACAGG